UACAGAGGUGGCAAGCGUUGUUCGGAAUUACUGGGCGUAAAGGGCGCGUAGGCGGUCCCGUCAGUCCCUUGUGAAAUCCCUCGGCUCAACCGAGGAACUGCGUCCGAUACUGGUGGGCUUGAAUCCGGGAGAGGGAUGUGGAAUUCCAGGUGUAGCGGUGAAAUGCGUAGAUAUCUGGAGGAACACCGGUGGCGAAGGCGGCAUCCUGGACCGGUAUUGACGCUGAGGCGCGAAAGCUAGGGGAGCAAACGGG
rnacentral:rRNA from 1 species